rnacentral:rRNA from 1 species
UACGUAGGGUCCGAGCGUUGUCCGGAGUACUGGGCGUAAAGCGCGCGCAGGCGGCGGUGUAAGCAUGGCGUGAAAGCCCCAGGCUCAACCUGGGAGGGUCGUCGUGGACUGCACCGCUUGAGGGCGGUAGGGGCUGGUGGAAUGCCUGGUGUAGUGGUGAAAUGCGUAGAGAUCAGGCGGAACACCCGUGGCGAAGGCGGCCAGCUGGGCCGUCCCUGACGCUGAGGCGCGAAGGCGUGGGGAGCGAACG